AACCUUAUGGACCUGCGGGCGUAUACCUGCGGAAGGAUCAUUACCGAGUUAGGGUAGUUACUCGCUGCCCGACCUCCCAACCCUGUGUCUACCACACUUUGUCGUUGCUUCGGCGGACCGGUCGACCAACUGGUCGUGACCGCCGGGGGCUGGCUCUGUCACCCCUGGAGAGCGUCCGCCGAUGGCCCAACCACAAACUCUUGUACCGAAACGUGUCGUCUGAAUAAUUGAGAAAUCAAA
rnacentral:misc_RNA from 1 species